rnacentral:rRNA from 1 species
CUCAGAAAGUACGUCUAAGUCCGGAUUGGAGUCUGCAACUCGACUCCAUGAAGUCGGAAUCGCUAGUAAUCGCAAAUCAGAAUGUUGCGGUGAAUACGUUCCCGGGCCUUGUACACACCGCCCGUCACACCAUGGGAGUGGGUUGUACCAGAAGUAGAUAGCUUAACCGAAAGGGGGGCGUUUACCACGGUAUGAUUCAUGACUGGGGUGAAGUCGUAACAAGGUAACCGUAGGGGAACCUGCGGUUGGAUCACCUCCUUA